AACGUAGGAGACGAGCGUUAUUCGGAUUUACUGGGCGUAAAGCGCAUGCAGGUGGUAUGGCAAGUUGGAUGUGAAAGCUCCUGGCUUAACUAGGAGAGGUCAUUCAAAACUGCCAAACUUGAGAAUAGGAGAGGGAGGUGGAAUUCCGGGUGUAGUGGUGAAAUGCGUAGAUAUCCGGAGGAACACCAGUGGCGAAAGCGACCUCCUGGCCUAUUUCUGACACUCAGACGCGAAAGCUAGGGUAGCAAACGGG
rnacentral:rRNA from 1 species